rnacentral:rRNA from 1 species
CCUACGGGAGGCAGCAGUGAGGAAUAUUGGUCAAUGGGCGCUAGCCUGAACCAGCCAAGUAGCGUGAAGGAUGACUGCCCUAUGGGUUGUAAACUUCUUUUAUAUGGGAAUAAAAUGCAGUAUGCAUACCGCUUCGCAUGUACCUUAUGAAUAAGCAUCGGCUAACUCCGUGCCAGCAGCCGCGGUAAUACGGAGGAUUCGAGCGUUAUCCGGAUUUAUUGGGUUUAAAGGGAGCGGAGGCGGGAUGUUAAGUCCGUCGUGAAAUUUGGGGGGUCAACCGUAGAAGUGCAGUUGAUACUGGCAUCCUUGAGUGAAGUAGAGGUAGGCGGAAUGCGUGGUGUAGCGGUGAAAUGCAUAGAUAUCACGAAGAACUCCGAUUGCGAAGGCAGCCUGCUGGACUGUAACUGACGCUGAUGCACGAAAGUGUGGGUAUCAAACAGGAUUAGAUACCCUAGUAGUC